rnacentral:tRNA from 1 species
GGUAGGGUGGCCGAGCGUUAGGCGGCGGGUUGUAGCCCCGUACAUAGAGGUUAAAAUCCUUUCCCUAUCA